ensembl:lncRNA
GUCAUUACAAACAUUUUCGCAGUCUUAAUGUUAACAGGCAAAAAUGGCAGGCACAAGCAAGAGUAUUAAAGGGUCACAGGAGUAAAAUGAAAGCAUUCAAGUGGAUUUUGCAACACUCAACCGCAGAAAAUAGAUGGCUGAAAAAGACAGAUCCUCCGGAGCAAUAAUCUUGCAUGAAUGGGAUGAGAAGUGAACUGUUUGGACCUGCCUAUUAGAGACAACCAGGAAGUAAGAAGAGUGGUGAAUUUGCCUGUGUGUAGAGCUCCUUGCAUACUGGUUGUGGAAGUGGGUGAGACAACGCACCACAAACACUGUCUGGCAACAUGUCUCAACCUAAAGGCAAGUACCAUGACGCUCUUCAUAAUAAACUAGCAUUAGAUAAUAGAUAAUAAUUAUAUGACUGCCUAUGUAACUCAUUGAUGAGAG